rnacentral:rRNA from 1 species
GAUGAACGCUGGCGGCGUGCCUAAUACAUGCAAGUCGAGCGAACAGACGGGGAGCUUGCUCCUCUGACGUUAGCGGCGGACGGGUGAGUAACACGUGGAUAACCUACCUAUAAGACUGGGAUAACUUCGGGAAACCGGAGCUAAUACCGGAUAAUAUAUUGAACCGCAUGGUUCAAUAGUGAAAGACGGUUUUGCUGUCACUUAUAGAUGGAUCCGCGCCGCAUUAGCUAGUUGGUAAGGUAACGGCUUACCAAGGCAACGAUGCGUAGCCGACCUGAGAGGGUGAUCGGCAACACUGGAACUGAGACACGGUCCAGACUCCUACGGGAGGCAGCAGUAGGGAAUCUUCCGCAAUGGGCGAAAGCCUGACGGAGCAACGCCGCGUGAGUGAUGAAGGUCUUCGGAUCGUAAAACUCUGUUAUUAGGGAAGAACAAAUGUGUAAGUAACUAUGCACGUCUUGACGGUACCUAAUCAGAAAGCCACGGCUAACUACGUG